GACCUGUAGUGCUAGUUAAUAUGGGUUGAGAGAAGAUGACCUGUAGUGCUAGUAAAGAUGGGUUGAGAGAAGAUGACCUGUGGUGCUAGUUAAGAUGGGUUGAGAGAAGAUGACCUGUAGUGCUAGUUAAUAUGGGUUGAGAGAAGAUGACCUGUAGUGCUAGUAAAGAUGGGUUGAGAGAAGAUGACCUGUGGUGCUAGUUAAGAUGGGUUGAGAGAAGAUGACCUGUAGUGCUAGUUAAUAUGGGUUGAGAGAAGAUGACCUGUAGUGCUAGUAAAGAUGGGUUGAGAGAAGAUGACCUGUGGUGCUAGUUAAGAUGGGUUGAGAGAAGAUGACCUGUAGUGCUAGUUAAUAUGGGUUGAGAGAAGAUGACCUGUAGUGCUAGUAAAGAUGGGUUGAGAGAAGAUGACCUGUGGUGCUAGUUAAGAUGGAUUGAGUGAAGAUGACCAGUAGUGCUAGUUAAGAUGGGUUGAGAGAAGAUGACCUGUAGUGCUAGUUAAUAUGGGUUGAGAGAAGAUGACCUGUAGUGCUAGUAAAGAUGGGUUGAGAGAAGAUGACCUGUGGUGCUAGUUAAGAUGGGUUGAGAGAAGAUGACCUGUAGUGCUAGUUAAUAUGGGUUGAGAGAAGGUGACCUGUAGUGCUAGUUAAGAUGGGUUGAGAGAAGAUGACCUGUAGUGCUAGUUAAUAUGGGUUGAGAGAAGAUGACCUGUAGUGCUAGUAAAGAUGGGUUGAGAGAAGAUGACCUGUGGUGCUAGUUAAGAUGGGUUGAGUGAAGAUGACCUGUAGUGCUAGUAAAGAUGGGUUGAGAGAAGGUGACCUGUAGUGCUAGUUAAGAUGGGUUGAGAGAAGAUGACCUGUAGUGCUAGUUAAUAUGGGUUGAGAGAAGAUGACCUGUAGUGCUAGUAAAGAUGGGUUGAGAGAAGAUGACCUGUGGUGCUAGUUAAGAUGGGUUGAGAGAAGAUGACCUGUGGUGCUAGUUAAGAUGGGUUGAGAGAAGAUGACCUGUAGUGCUAGUUAAUAUGGGUUGAGAGAAGAUGACCUGUAGUGCUAGUAAAGAUGGGUUGAGAGAAGAUGACCUGUGGUGCUAGUUAAGAUG